AGUGAACGCUGGCGGUAGGCCUAACACAUGCAAGUCGAACGGCAGCACAGUAAGAGCUUGCUCUUACGGGUGGCGAGUGGCGGACGGGUGAGGAAUACAUCGGAAUCUACUUUUUCGUGGGGGAUAACGUAGGGAAACUUACGCUAAUACCGCAUACGACCUACGGGUGAAAGCAGGGGAUCUUCGGACCUUGCGCGAUUGAAUGAGCCGAUGUCGGAUUAGCUAGUUGGCGGGGUAAAGGCCCACCAAGGCGACGAUCCGUAGCUGGUCUGAGAGGAUGAUCAGCCACACUGGAACUGAGACACGGUCCAGACUCCUACGGGAGGCAGCAGUGGGGAAUAUUGGACAAUGGGCGCAAGCCUGAUCCAGCCAUACCGCGUGGGUGAAGAAGGCCUUCGGGUUGUAAAGCCCUUUUGUUAGGAAAGAAAAGCGGCAGGUUAAUACCCCGCUGUUCUGACGGUACCCAAAGAAUAAGCACCGGCUAACUUCGUG
rnacentral:rRNA from 1 species